rnacentral:rRNA from 1 species
GUAGGUGGCAAGCGUUGUCCGGAUUUACUGGGCGUAAAGGGAGCGUAGGUGGAUAUUUAAGUGGGAUGUGAAAUACUCGGGCUUAACCUGGGUGCUGCAUUCCAAACUGGAUAUCUAGAGUGCAGGAGAGGAAAGUAGAAUUCCUAGUGUAGCGGUGAAAUGCGUAGAGAUUAGGAAGAAUACCAGUGGCGAAGGCGACUUUCUGGACUGUAACUGACACUGAGGCUCGAAAGCGUGGGGAGCAAACAGGGAUUAGAUACCCUGGUAGUCCACGCCGUAAACGAUGAGUACUAGGUGUAGGGGUUGUCAUGACCUCUGUGCCGCCGCUAACGCAUUAAGUAUUCCGCCUGGGGAGUACGGUCGCAAGAUUA